GUUGAAACACCGGUUCCCGUACUAUUAUCGAAGUUAAGCAACCUCGAAACUGGUCAGUACCGACAUGGGUGACCGCUUGGGAAUACAAGGUGCUGUAAG